rnacentral:rRNA from 1 species
AUCCAGCCAUGCCGCGUGCAGGAUGAAGGCCUUCGGGUUGUAAACUGCUUUUGUACGGAACGAAAAGACUCUGGUUAAUACCUGGGGUCCAUGACGGUACCGUAAGAAUAAGCACCGGCUAACUACGUGCCAGCAGCCGCGGUAAUACGUAGGGUGCAAGCGUUAAUCGGAAUUACUGGGCGUAAAGCGUGCGCAGGCGGUUAUAUAAGACAGAUGUGAAAUCCCCGGGCUCAACCUGGGAACUGCAUUUGUGACUGUAUAGCUAGAGUACGGCAGAGGGGGAUGGAAUUCCGCGUGUAGCAGUGAAAUGCGUAGAUAUGCGGAGGAACACCGAUGGCGAAGGCAAUCCCCUGGGCCUGUACUGACGCUCAUGCACGAAAGCGUGGGGAGCAAACAGGAUUAGAUACCCUGGUAGUCCACGCCCUAAACGAUGUCAACUGGUUGUUGGGUCUUCACUGACUCAGUAACGAAGCUAACGCGUGAAGUUGACCGCCUGGGGAGUACGGCCG